rnacentral:rRNA from 1 species
UACGUAGGGAGCGAGCGUUGUCCGGAAUCAUUGGGCGUAAAGAGCAUGUCGGUGGAUCAAUUAGUCUGCUGUGAAAGUCAAAGGCUCAACCUUUGAAAGCCGGUGGAUACUGUUGAUCUAGAGUACGGAAGAGGCGAGUGGAAUUCCUGGUGUAGCGGUGGAAUGCGCAGAUAUCAGGAGGAACACCAAUAGCGAAGGCAGCUCGCUGGGACGUUACUGACACUGAGAUGCGAAAGCGUGGGGAGCAAACAGG